rnacentral:ribozyme from 1 species
UACUUUUUUAUUUUUUACCCUCCUGAUAUAUGAUAUAUUGUGUGCAUAUAUGUAAUAUGUAAAUAUAUGUUUUUUUGCUCCUUAGAUCCCUUAUAUAUCUAUAUCUAUAUUAUCCCUUAAAAG